rnacentral:rRNA from 1 species
AUGGACGCCCCGCCCGCCUCCACCUCCGCCUCCGCCGCGGGAUCGGCGUCGGACGCCGCCGCUGAGGCCGCGCCGCGCCGCCCGGCGGGGCACCGCCGCGCGCAGUCGGAGAUCCUCCUCGGGGCCUCCGCCCUCCCGGAUGACCUCACCUUCGACGCCGACCUCGGAGUCGUCGGGGAGGGCGGGGGUAGCGGCGGCGGCGGCGACGAAGAUGACGAGGACGAGUACGAGGAGGACGAGGAAGUCGGCGGCGGCGGAAGCGGGGGCAGCCGGAUGUUCGAGAUGUUCCUCCAGGCCGGCGGCAGGCUGUCCGAGCCGCUGGACCCGUCGCCGUACCCGCAGCCGCCGCCGCCCGCGCGGCCGCGGCACCAGCACAGCAUGUCGAUGGACGGCUCCACGUCGUUCGGGUCCGCCUCCUCCGGGGUGUCGGGGAGGCACGGCGCGGACGCCAAGAAGGCCAUCUCCGACGCCAAGCUCGCCGAGCUCGCUCUCGUUGACCCCAAGCGCGCCAAGAGGAUCAUGGCAAAUCGCCAGUCAGCUGCUAGGUCAAAAGAAAGAAAGAUGCGCUACAUUGCUGAGCUUGAGAGGAAAGUACAGUGUCUUCAAACAGAAGCAACUACACUAUCAGCUCAGUUGUCCCUGUUACAGAGAGAUACCAGUGGUUUAACAAAUGAAAAUGGUGAUUUGAAGCUGCAAGUGCAAACAAUGGAGCAGCAGGUCAGGCUGCAAGAUGCACUGAACGACAGACUGAGGGACGAGGUUCAGCAGCUGAAGAUUGCAACUGGACAGCUGAACGCCAACAAUGGAAGCCUGGGGAAUUUCGGCGGUCUGUCCUCGUACGGAGUCAAUCCACAGAGCUACCAGCGAAGCCAGAUGCAACAACAAUCUCUUCUGGCCGCUCAGCACCUUCAGCAGCUCCAGAUCCACUCUCAGCACCAGCAGCCCCAGAUGCACCUGCAGCAGCAACGCCUUGGCAGUGUCCGGCAGCAGCAGCAGUCGCAGCUGCGUCCGGAAGCACUGCCAUUUCCGGGAGACCUCAAGAUGAAGGGAAUUGCCAUGACAGCCCAUGUGCAGAAUGCGGGCCCGUCCCCUUUCGAUGGCCGCGCAAGGAGCGAGCCGUGA